GACUGUCAAAGGGUAAAAUCACAUGUAGUCGAGGAACAUUCAGAAUAGAAGUAGACCAUUUACUCGGUCCAUGGAACCCCUCAAUGAUUAUUUUUAUAUUUACAUGAGCAAAUAGAUGAAUGUUAAAAAGUAUGUACAUGAUGGACUUCGUUUAUAAUGUGGAGACUACAUGUCAUGUAUACAUACAAUUGGGCUGUGGAAUAAAUAAAUUUUAUAUAUGUUGUUUUUGUGGGCUUACUUCAGACAUAAUACUGCCUAUAGGCUACUAUCUUACACUUAUUUUCCACUAAUUGAUCAAUUUCUAAUGAGACAUGAGGCCAUUUAGUGGUAAAUGUGUCCUCUGGAAUCUCUGAUCAAUCAAAUCCUACAGAGAACGUUUACAACCUACAAGCCACAUUUGAUUUGAAGGAAAUAGGAAAACAAACACUUCCAUUUACAAGAUCAAAUAGCUUGUGACCAUCACAAUUAGUUGCCAAUUGCAGACAAUAUCUGGGAUAAGACAGUUUUCAAUUUAGAUGUAUACUAACUGUUAUUACUGUAUCUGGAUGUAUACUAACUGUUAAUACUGUAUAUGUUAACAUUUUAUUUGGAUGUAUAAUUACUGUUAAUAUUGUAAAAGGAUAAAAAUGAUUAGAUCAAAUCCAAAAGGUCAUUUCUCAAAUUGUACCAUUUAUUUAAUUGCCAUGAAAAGGUCAUUUCUCAAAUUGUACCAUUUAUUUAAUUGCCAUGAAAAGGUCAUUUCUCAAAUUGUACCAUUUAUUUAAUUGCCAUGAAAAGGUCAUUUCUCAAAUUGUACCAUAAGGUUAUUUAAUUGCCAUGACAGUUUGCUGUUUUUGGAAAACAGACGAACUGAGUGAAUAUUCAGCNN
rnacentral:lncRNA from 1 species